rnacentral:rRNA from 1 species
UACGGGGGGGGCAAGCGUUGUUCGGAAUUACUGGGCGUAAAGGGCUCGUAGGCGGCCAACUAAGUCGGAUGUGAAAUCCCCAGGCUUAACCCGGGAACUGCAUCCGAUACUGGAUGGCUUGAGACCGGAAGAGGUGGGUGGAAUACCCAGUGUAGAGGUGAAAUUCGUAGAUAUUGGGUGGAACACCGGUGGCGAAGGCGGCUCACUGGUCCGGUUCUGACGCUGAGGCGCGAAAGCGUGGGAGCAA